GGUACUUUGAUAUUUUAUGUACAGUAUAUAAUAAGUAUUUGGUGUACUUUGAUAUUUUAUGUACAGUAUAUAACAUGUAUUUGGUGUACUUUGAUAUUUUAUGUACAGUAUAUAAUAUGUAUUUGGUGUACUUUAAUAUUUUACAUACAGUAUAUAAUAUGUAUUUUGUGUAUUUUGAUAUUUUGUGUACAGUAUAUAAUAUAUAUUUUGUGUACUUUGAUAUUUUAUGUACAGUAUAUUAUAUGUGUUUUCUGUACUUUGAUAUUUUAUGUACAGUAUAUAAAAUGUAUUUGGUGUACUUUGAUAUUUUAUGCACAGUAUAUAAUAUGUAUUUGGUGUACUUUGAUAUUAUAUGUACAGUAUAUAAUAUAUAUUUGGUGUACUUUUUGAUAUUUUAUGUACAGUAUAUAAUAAGUAGUUGGUGUAAUUUUUGAUAAUUUAAGUACAGUAAAUAAUAAGUAUUUGGUGUACUUUUUGAUAUUUUAUGUACAGUAUGUAAUAUGUAUUUGGUGUACUUUUUGAUAUUUUAUGUACAGUACAUAAUAUGUAUUUGGUGUACUUUGAUAUUUUAUGUACAGUAUAUAGUAUAUAUUUGGUGUACUUUUUGAUAUUUUAUGUACAGUAUAUAAUACGUAUUUAGUGUACUAUUUGAUAUUAUAUGUACAGUAUAUAAGAUACAUUUGGUGUACUUUUUGAUAUUUUAUUUACAGUAUAUGACAUGCAUGUGGUGUACUUUUUGAUAUUUUAUGUACAGUAUAUAACAUGUGUUUGCUGUACUUUGAUAUUUUAUGUAGAGUAUAUAAUAUGUAUUUGGUGCACUAUGAAAUUUUAUGUACAGUAUAUAAUAUGAAUUUGGCGUACUUUGAUAUUUUAUGGACAGUAUAUAAUAGGUAUUUUGUGUAGUUUGAUAUUUUAUGUACAGUAUAAAAUAUGUAUUUGGUGUACUUUGAUAUUUUAUGUACAGUAUAUAAUAUGCAUUUGAUGUAGUUUGAUAUUUUAUGUACUCUAUAUAAUAUGUAUUUGGUGUAUUUUGAUAUUUUAUGCACAGUGUAUAAUACACCAAAUACAAUUUAUAUACUGUACAUAAAAUAUCAAAGUACACCAAAUGCAUUUUAUAUACUGUAUAUAAAACACCAACGUACACCAAAUACAUACUAUAUACUGUACAUAGUUUGAAAGUACACCAAAUACAUAUUAUAUACUGUACAUAAAAUGUCAAAAAGUACACCAAAUACAUAUUAUAUACUGUAC
rnacentral:lncRNA from 1 species